rnacentral:rRNA from 1 species
AACCCCGGCGCGACAUGCGCCAAGGAAAACUAAAAGGAAGCGUCNUCCCCCAAGGCGCCCGUUCGCGGUGCGUUUUGGGUACGCGACGUCUCUCGAACGUCUAAAUGGCUCUCGGCAACGGAUAUCUCGGCUCUCGCAUCGAUGAAGAACGUAGCGAAAUGCGAUACUUGGUGUGAAUUGCAGAAUCCCGUGAACCAUCGAGUCUUUGAACGCAAGUUGCGCCCGAAGCCUUCUGGCCGAGGGCACGCCUGCCUGGGCGUCACGCAUCGCGUCGCCCCCUCCAACGUCCCUAGGGAUUUACGAGCGGGAGCGGAAAAUGGUCUCCCGCGCGCCUUCGGGCUCGUGGYUGGCUCAAAUGAGAUCCCGCGUCGACGGAUGUCGCGACCAGUGGUGGUUGAAAACUCAAUCGUGCUGUCGCGCAUCUUUGCGUCGUUCGCGAGGCAUCCAUUCGAAACGACGGCGCUUCACGUGCCUUCGACCGCGACCCCAGGUCAGGCGGGACUACCCGCUGAGUUUAAGCAUAUC